CAGAAAAUGAGAAGAAGAAAAAAAUGAAAAAGAAAAACACUCUUCUACACUCUCAAAAGUUCCCCAUUUCCAUUUUCCACACACAACAGUCUUUCUCUACUCCGAAAACCCUAAAAAUGGGGAGCAAUCGAACUCCAGCUAAACAACGAUAUAUUGGUUUUUCACCGGAUAAAGUUGAGAUCAAUAGAUUUUAUGCUCCAUGUCUAUAUUUUUUCUUUUCAAAAUCCUUGAGUUUCGCCUAUUUUAGUUUUUUUGUUUUUUUCUCUUGAUUUUGAGUUUGAUUUUGACUCUGUUUGCAGCUUCUGAAUCAGCGUAUUUUGAUCUUUUGAAUUCUGCAUACAAAGGGAAUCUAGAUCGUUUCAAGAUUAUAGCUUCAAGGUACGAUGACAAAGGGGAUGGACUAGCAAUAACGAUCCAACGUCUUAAGGAUAAACUUGGAAGAGGAUCUCUUAUUUUUGCUGCUGCUGGAGGAAGCGUAAAUGUCUGUAGAUACUUGAUUGAAGAGUUGAAUUUUGAUAUCGAUGUGCAAGAUAAUCAUGGUGGAACUCCCUUAUGUUAUGGAGCUGUAAAAGGACAUCUGAACUCUGUAGAGUAUCUUCUUGAGAAGGGUGCCAAUCCUAAUGGUUCAAAUGAUCCGAAUAGUACAUUUAGUGCUCCUUUGCAUUAUGCUGUAUUAGGAGUUGGAGAUACAAUUAGGCGUGGAUUUCAUAUGCCGUUUUAUAUGCAUGAGACAUAAACAUACAGAGGUUGCUACUUUCAAAAGGUGCUCGUGUUAAUUUUGUGACUGCAGCUGGGACAGCCCUAUGUUAUGCUGCUGGUAGGGACCAGCUUGAUUCUGUUAAACUCUUGUUGGAUCACCAUGCAGAUCCUAAUGUAGUGUUGAAGGGCCUGAUUACACCGCUGACGGCGAGUAUUCUUAACGGUACACUGCAAAUGACAGAUCUUUUACUACAGGCUGUUGCUGACCCAAAUGCCGAAUCACGUGGAAUUGCCCCUCUUGGAUCUGCAGUAGAAUAUGGGCUAACAAAAUUUAUCGUGCCCUUACCGGAGGCCGGUGCUGAUCCAAAUGCUACGGACAAUGAAGGCAUGACUGCAGUAGAAAUUGCUGCUACAAUGGGCAAGAGGGAAAUUGUUGAGAUUCUGUUUCCCGUGACUUCUUGCAUUCCAACAUAUCCAAGUUGGACCAUUGGUGGACUUAUGAAGCAUGUGCAUUCUGAGGCCGCCAGAAAGAAGAAGAAACCCGAAGGUUCUGAGAAAGUUCUUCAAGAAAAAAUGAACGGUGCAGAAGCAUUCAAGGAAAAGCAGUAUUCGCUGGCAGCAAUGUGGUACUCAAAGGCGUUGGAAAUUGCUCCAACAGAUGCAACUCUGCUAUCCAAUAGGAGUGCAUGUUAUGCAUGUAUGCAAGAUGGACCUGAAGCAUUAAAGGAUGCAACUGAAUGCAUAUCUUUAAGGCCUGAUUGGCCAAAGGCACACUAUAGGGCAGGCGUAGCUCUCAAAAUUCUGAAAAGGUAUGGCGAAGCGGCAGACGCCUUUUAUAAGGGUUUGACGCUGGAUCCUGAAAACAAAGAGCUUCAAGAUGCAUUCAGGUUCAGUUUUAUCGACCUUCGUUAAGAAUUCUAUUUCCAUGUUUAUAGUUAUUAAUUAUGUCAUUCAUUCACCAUCAAGACAGAUAAUUAAAGUGCUUGGAUCCCAUUCAAAUUUGGCAACCAAUUUGGCUGUCUAAACGUCCCUUAUGUUUUCUGGAUAUCACUGUCUCUACAUUUUGCCAAUUAGAAAUGUCUUAUUCCUUUUCCUAAAGAACUUUGUCUAGAAUAAUCACAUCUUCAAGAAAUGUGAUUUACAUCUAUAGCCACAACUUACAUGGCCAGAGUAUUUACUGGUUAAACCUGAUUGAAGUCGCAUGAUGGGGUUUUCAUGCAUGACCCCACAUGGAACAUCAGUCAGUCGUCAAUGUUACACAUGGUUUCACAACCUUUAUUAUCCAUAAACUGUCAAGUGGUGGGAGAAGUGUCAUUUCUGUUUUUAAUCUGUAUUUUGUUUAAAUUGCUCAGCAAUUUAGAUUGAAGUCCUGCUGAGCAAUUUAGAUUGAAGUCCGUCUUCCUACAACCAUAAGAAGAAGAAGAUGAUGAUAGUAGCUCAUCAAUAACUAACAGCAAACUGGCAAUAUAUAUUAUCUUAACCAGAAGACAUUCUAUUAAUGUUUCGGUGGCCAACUUUUGUAUAGCUCCUACUGAAAGGGGUUUUCCUGACAUCGUAACUAUUUGCAACAAACUAUAGGGUUUUUUACAUUACUAUUCCACUAGGAAUUUCUGUAGAAGAAGGGCUCUUUUAACUUCUUAUAUUAUGUCUCCACAGACCUCUAACUUUGAGUAUGCUAUUCCAUCUUCUGGUUUCUUUCUUUGGUUGCACUCCCCAAACUAAGAACUUUCAAGAUGCGUGGCUGUUAAUAAUCUAUCCCAGAUUGUAUCUUUUACCUGAAUCGCCAUGCUAGUUUCACAUAGAAUUUCUGGAUCAAGAAAUCAUAUGAAGCACACAAAUACCUUGACGGAAGUAAAAAUGAUCCUAAGUAUUUGUCUGUAUUCUUCAUAAUUGCCACACCAAGUAUGUCAGCAAAUUCAACUUUGUGCUCCGAAUUCAUUUUGUAGUUCAAGUGGAUUAAAGAUUUUAUGUAUUACUUUUUGUCAAGACCAAUUUUCGGUCGGACUACCCCAAAAUAUCGGAUUGCUUGCCCCUAUUUGUUAGAGGCACGACCAAAGAAGAAUAAGUCGUUGACAAACAUUAGAUGGGUGGUACAAGGAGCUUCAUGAUUAACUUUAUAACCCUCGAAACAACCUUCAUUUCCUGCUUUGUUGAGUGGCCAAGUGAGACCCCUUGAUCUGGUGAUGUCUACAAUCCCUGUGAUGUUGCUGUCCUGUCCCUGCUUUUGACAAGGAUAUAUUGUGGGAGUUCCAAUUCUGUAAACUUAAUGAUGAGUUGCAUACUUCAAGUGUAUCAUCUAAGAGGUGUCACUAGUUUAUUGCCUAAUCGUAUAGAAGACUCUAUUGAUCCUGUUUACAUGCGAGGGAGGUAAUUUAACUGGUGGAAACUUUUAUGCUACGUCUCAGGGAGCAGUUUGAUGCAACAUCGCAUUGCACUUCCACCUGAUGCUAUGGGAAAGAUCAUUUAUGUUGCCCCAGCUGGUCAAUACUCACUGAGUGUAUGUAUCUCCUCCUUUACUCUCUUAGUUACUCUGGCAAGGGCAGCAGUGGCAUCAUAUUUUUUGGUGGUCAAAAACUGCAUACAGGAACUCAUACUGGAAAUUUGAUGUCGCCUCUCUUGCUUGGCUCAGGUCUAUUUUCAUAGUUAUUGCCAUUUUAUUUUAUUUUUUUCUUUCUUUUUGUUUUAGGCUUACUGGUUUCCUAUAGAUGUGUUGUCACUGGCUUUAGGGAUUUGGUUCACAGUGCAAUUUCCAUUAUGGUUUUUAUAACUGAAUAUUAAAAUAUUGUUCCUCUUGAGCCUGUUUCUGAUCGAACCUUGCUUACGAUGAACAUGCUAGCUACACGACACCUUGCCGCGCUACAAAUCCAUAAAAAAAAAGGUCAACAACUGGAUCAGCACAUUGUUCCAGGCAUGGAUUAACUUGGCUCAAUUCCCACUGUGCCUAAACCACCUAAUUGGCCGCGUUUGGUGCUUUCAAUCACGCAACUCGUAGGUAUGUACAUGUGGCCAUAAGUGCAUACAUAUAUGCAAACCAUUUCUUUCCCCUUCACUUGCAAUAUCAUAAUCCUUUAUUUAUUUUCUUCUUUUCCAAUGAGGUUUGAGGCCUUCAAUCACGCAAUUCAAAGCCGCUUUUCAAAGGGGUACAUGUGGCCAACUGGCCAUAAAUGCAAACCAUUUCUUGCCCAACUACUUGCAAUAUCAUAAUCUUUUUUUUUUCCGAUGAGGUAGGUGGGUUGCUUCUUUUGGUAGUUAUAUAUAUUAUACAGCCAACCCAUUGUACUACAUCCCAUUCGCAGAAUCUCUUCAGCAAGAAAAUGGCUUCAUUUUGUUCCCUGUUGGUUUACAAUGCUGUGUUUCUCCUGGUUUCGAUUGUUCUUGUUUCUUCGUCUACCGAUCAAGAAAGCGUCGUUGCCUCUGCUUUUCCUUCCUCUAAGUAUCACUGUGAAGUGUUUCAGUCAGUAACAUUGUCUCAGUUUAAUUUGUUCUGACUAUAUUUGCCAUCAUAUAGAUCUUUUCUAAUAUAUGCAGUGAAUUUUGUUGCGUUCAUGCAGUAGAGAUGGGAGCUCUUACACGUACCUUCGAAUGUGAGCCAGGUGUGGGCAUAAAAAUGAGGACUCAGGAAUUUAAUAUAAUUAGAGGUUGCCUUCCCUGUUUAGCUUAUUGUCGGGGUGCUUGUGAUGCGCUGGGUACCUAUUGGUAUCGCCAAAGAUGCCUGACACCUCCAGAAACCACAAAUGUAGUUUGCGACUGCUGUUGUAAAAAACCCGCACCACCCCCUCCAUGCAUAUGUCCCACUCCUACUACACCACCCCCACCCCCACCUAGUACUCCUUCGGGUGGUCAGUGUGCUCCUGGAGACACAUACACAGAAACUACGAUACCAACCUCAAAUUGCUCCGAUUGUACAAACUGGUGUAAAGAAGAUUGUUCAGAAUUAGGAGGCCGUGUGACUGAUGACAAGUGCGCCAUAGGUGAAUCUAACUUUGUAAGAAAAUUUUGCAGUACAAGACUUUUUAAAAUGGAGAUUUCUAAAGGUAGAAAAUUUGCUCAUGAUUGUAUUUGAUUUCAAGACUUCAAUAAUAUCCUGAUAACAAGGGUACAACUAAUAUAACAUUCUAGUUAAUGC